rnacentral:tRNA from 1 species
GCCCGGGUGGUGGAACUGGUAGACACACAGGACUUAAAAUCCUGAGGGGCCUUACCGCCUCGUGCCGGUUCGAUUCCGGCCCCGGGCA